AUGAACACAGACUCGGAGACCAUCAAGACCGCGUGCAAAGAUAUUCUGCAGAAAAAUUCAAAGAACAGACGCCAUCAGAUCAAGAAGAAGUAUUUUGAUACCGUAGCCGCAAACAAAGUCAGCAUCAAGUCUCCGGUGCCAGAUCUGACGGACGGUGAAUGGCAAGCUCUGGUGGAGAUGUGGUCUACCACAAGACACAAGGAAACCUGUGUGUCGAACAAGAUGAAUCGAGAAAAAGUCGUGUACAAUCAGAGAACUGGUUCCAGGCACUACAUAGCACACAUUUUUGCCAUUAAAGAAGAGCGUAACGGUGAGCAGCUGUCUGCGAUUGACUUGUUUAAGGCCACCCACAACAGCAAGAAGCACGGGUUUUAG
rnacentral:rRNA from 1 species